rnacentral:rRNA from 1 species
AUUGAACGCUGGCGGCAGGCCUAACACAUGCAAGUCGAGCGGAUGAAGGGAGCUUGCUCCUGGAUUCAGCGGCGGACGGGUGAGUAAUGCCUAGGAAUCUGCCUGGUAGUGGGGGAUAACGUCCGGAAACGGGCGCUAAUACCGCAUACGUCCUUAGGGAGAAAGUGGGGGAUCUUCGGACCUCACGCUAUCAGAUGAGCCUAGGUCGGAUUAGCUAGUUGGUGGGGUAAAGGCCUACCAAGGCGACGAUCCGUAACUGGUCUGAGUGGAUGAUCAGUCACACUGGAACUGAGACACGGUCCAGACUCCUACGGGAGGCAGCAGUGGGGAAUAUUGGACAAUGGGCGAAAGCCUGAUCCAGCCAUGCCGCGUGUGUGAAGAAGGUCUUCGGAUUGUAAAGCACUUUAAGUUGGGAGGAAGGGCAGUAAGUUAAUACCUUGCUGUUUUGACGUUACCAACAGAAUAAGCACCGGCUAACUUCGUG